UGUCAGGCUGCUCUGAAAGUGGAUUACAGAACCUCUAGAUCUUUAGAGCUUUCCAGGGAAGGUGGUGGACUCCCAUAUUCCCAGGACACUGUGUUCUCCAGCAAGAAGUCUGCUAAAAUGGAGGACUACAACUCCUCUUCAAGUGAAUAAGGAGACACAGCAGAAAUGUCUGAAAUAAUACCUGUGGAAGCAGAUGCUAGAAACUCCUCAGGAGCUGAUUAAGAUUUUUCUCACCGAGUUCACAUUUGUCGUGUAAUGAUUUGUGAGUAGUCUGACUUGUUUGAAAUACUAAUGCUAGAAGUUUGGCUUAAUUGACUAAGCCCUGGAUCUUCUAUAAACUUCACAAAUUCUUUCCUAAUUUCUUUCAUUACAAUGCCCUGCAAAGAAGUGGAUCAGCAAUCAUCAUUAAAAUGUCAUUUAUAUUCUGUGUGACUUCAUUCUCCAAAUAUGCUAUAUAUUGUAUCUGCAAGAGGAAAUUUUUGUGCUAACUUCUGCAAAAGUGGUGAGAUUAUCACAAAAAGGAAGUAUAUGCUGAAGAUACAAAGAACUGUGGUUAGCUUUGACUCCAGAAAGAGCAGUUUUAUAAUGGAACCAUACCUAUUGAUCCAAUACUUGUGAUGCUUUCCGAUUAUCCAUGAGUCCAGGACUCCCAUCUAAAUCACUUAAUUCAGGUCCUUUUAAGACUUCCUUUAUGUCACAGGACCUUUCAUACAAUUACACUUCUUCAUAUAUUAUCUGCUAAUUAAUGCCCUUGGAAAGAAUUUCUCUGCUUUCCACUAAACUAAUUGGGCAGCAGAGAGACCAAACUUUUAGCCAGCACAUUGGUGAAUACCUCAGCAUCAAUACAGAACUAGUAGACAGGGCUAUGACUGGCAAAAUCAAAUUUGUCUUUGCUAGGUUUCAAGCCAGUUAAAGAUGGGCUUCUAUUGAUUUUGAAAUUUUGACAUUUUCUCAGAUUACGAACU